GAAUGUGAGGGUGACCUGGCUGUGACCCUGCCACCCCAUUGAUUGCAGAGCCCAUUAGACUGAUGUGGUGGCCCGGUGUCUUCUUUCUCCCUCACCUCUGUCUACGUCAGCUUUCAAGUCUCGGGCUCAGACAACAGGAAUGACAUAACCCCGUUAAAGGAGCAUUCAUUCUCUGUAGGUCCAGGGAAUGUGAUCACUGCUCAGGGAGGCUUCAAGAUGGGGCUUUUCUGUGACCCUGUAAUGCCUCCCAAAGUGUUGACAUGAACACUGUGAGAAGGUGCUUACUGAGUCUCUCUCUGCAG
rnacentral:snRNA from 1 species